rnacentral:rRNA from 1 species
GAUGAACGCUGGCGGCGUGCCUAAUACAUGCCAGUCGAGCGAACAGAUGAGGAGCUUGCUCCUCUGACGUUAGCGGCGGACGGGUGAGUAACACGUGGAUAACCUACUUAUAAGACUGGGAUAACUUCGGGAAACAGGAGCUACUACCAGAGAAUAUAUUGAACCGCAGAGUUCAAUAGUGAAUGACGGCUUUGCUGUCACUUUUAGAUGAAUCCGCGCCGCAUUAGCUAGUUGGUAAGGUAACGGCUUACCAAGGCAACGAUGCGUAGCCGACCUGAGAGGGUGAUCGGCCACACUGGAACUGAGACACGGUCCAGACUCCUACGGGAGGCAGCAGUAGGGAAUCUUCCGCAAUGGGCGAAAGCCUGACGGAGCAACGCCGCGUGAGUGAUGAAGGUCUUCGGAUCGUAAAACUCUGUUAUUAGGGAAGAACAAAUGUGUAAGUAACUAUGCACGUCUUGACGGUACCUAAUCAGAAAGCCACGGCUAACUACGUG